GAGGGGCCGGGGACGCGCGCGGGGGGAGAGGGGCAAGAGUCCUGGAGGCCCGGCGGGGAGCGGGGCGAUUUCGAAAGGAAGGACUGCAGCGCCCCUCGGGGCUUCUCGGGGAGCCCAGGAGGAAAGAGCUCAAUGCGGAAUCACAUAGGCAAAGGCUCUGAUUAUUUUCCUUGCAAUCGAAGACAAAAGCCGCCAUGUUUAUUAAAAUGAAAGUCGUAUUUUUACUCUUCCCUGGAAAGAAGUAUGUGCAACCAGACCAUCCCACCAAAGUCCUUCUAGCCCCCAGGAAGAAAAUUGAAGAGUUCAAAGAAUUGAAAAGUUAAGCCAAUUCAUUUAAAAUAAUCUUUGACUUUCUCAUUAUCAAUAUAUGUGUAUUUUCUGCAAGGUUACAAAAACAACUGGAACAUAUGUUAAAAUAAUCUUCAGUGUCAUCUGCAGCAACUAAUUCUAGAGAACUAUCUUAUUCAAUUUCAUUUCUUACUUAUAUGGAACUAAACCUUAAUCUGCUUUUCAGGUAUGAAAUAUAUUCAUGAUUCUGUCUCAAAAUAUGAAAUCAAAAGUUAGCAUUAUAACUCCCAGCUAACUGUCAUAUUAAUUCAUCUGGAUGAACCUUGUGGUACUGAACUUUGACAAUGCUCAGGGUGUCAAAGCAAACACCUGCCCCACCCCACGCCUACCCCAAAAACAAACGAGAGGCUUUUAUAGGUUGCAAGUCCUGGUCUGGUUUAUUUAUAAAGCAAUAAAUAUUAGAAGCACAAACAAAUUGCACGUGUGUAAACAAACUGUACAAUGAUUGAUGAAAGAUGAGGGAAGGUGGUUUGGAAGACUCCAAGAAGCAUAAUACCGUCAUCCUGACUGGAAGGUAGAUGGAGAGAGAAGGCAUCUUAGAAGCAUUUGCGGUGGACAAUGGAUGGGCCUGCCUCAUCGUACUCUUGCUUGCUAAUCCACAUUUGCUGGAAGGUGGACAGAGAGGCCAGGAUGGAGCCCCCAAUCCAGACAGAGUAUUUACGCUCAGGGGGAGCAAUAAUCUGCAGAAAGAAAACAAAAACUUCCAGUGAACUCUGAAGUUCCAAGCAAGGGAGCAAAUAACACAUUGGGAGGAUUCACAGAAAAAAACCAUUAGAUAUUAAUUCGCUAUAAUGUGGGAUAUGUCAUACCACGAAAUAAUGUGGCCAAUCAAGUUAUAUGAACUCACCUCUAUUUCAUCAUUUAUAUUAUUAAAGAUAUAUUCUAUUAUUAAAAUGGAAUUUCUCCACUUACCUAGAGUGUAAUUUGGCAACAAGCUAAAUGUGUAGUGGAGCCUAGCCCAAAAGUUGGGAGCUUUAAAAAUGUAUUCAAAGAU
ensembl:lncRNA GJD2-DT GJD2 divergent transcript